UAGCGCCCCCGACGUGACACAACACUCUGCCGCGGUGUUGUGGGACCUGCAGUGUCCGUCGGCGGCGCAU
rfam:Pseudogymnoascus sp. 23342-1-I1 unplaced genomic scaffold scaffold_47, whole genome shotgun sequence.